rnacentral:rRNA from 1 species
GACGAACGCUGGCGGCGUGCUUAACACAUGCAAGUCGAACGGAAAGGCCCCAGCUUGCUGGGGUACUCGAGUGGCGAACGGGUGAGUAACACGUGGGUGAUCUGCCCUGCACUCUGGGAUAAGCCUUGGAAACUGGGUCUAAUACCGGAUAGGACCGUGCGUUCGUGUGUGCGGUGUAGAGUUUUUCGGUGCAGGAUGAGCCCGCGGCCUAUCAGCUUGUUGGUGGGGUAAUGGCAUACCAAGGCGGCGACGGGUAGCCGGCCUGAGAGGGUGUACGGCCACAUUGGGACUGAGACACGGCCCAGACUCCUACGGGAGGCAGCAGUGGGGAAUAUUGCACAAUGGGCGCAAGCCUGAUGCAGCGACGCCGCGUGCGGGAUGACGGCCUUCGGGUUGUAAACCACUUUCGGCAGGGACGAAGCUUUUGUGACGGUACCUGCAUAAGAAGCACCGGCUAACUACGUG